CAGAUUCCAGAAUCCAGCCAAAUAAAAAUUGGAACAAUACAAAGAAGAUUAACAUGGCCCCUGCGUAAAAGGAUGACACACAUAAAUAAAAAUUUUACACUCAUCCAU